rnacentral:rRNA from 1 species
AUUGAACGCUGGCGGCAUGCUUUACACAUGCAAGUCGAACGGUAACAGGCCGCAAGGUGCUGACGAGUGGCGAACGGGUGAGUAAUGCAUCGGAACGUGCCCAGUCGUGGGGGAUAACGCAGCGAAAGCUGUGCUAAUACCGCAUACGAUCUAUGGAUGAAAGCGGGGGACCGUAAGGCCUCGCGCGAUUGGAGCGGCAGAUGUCAGAUUAGGUAGUUGGUGGGGUAAAGGCUCACCAAGCCAACGAUCUGUAGCUGGUCUGAGAGGACGACCAGCCACACUAGGACGGAGACACGGCCCAGACUCCUACGGGAGGCAGCAGUGGGGAAUUUUGGACAAUGGGCGCAAGCCUGAUCCAGCAAUGCCGCGUGCAGGAAGAAGGCCUUCGGGUUGUAAACUGCUUUUGUACGGAACGAAAAGGUUUGGGUUAAUACCCUGGGCCGAUGACGGUACCGUAAGAAUAAGCACCGGCUAACUACGUGCCAGCCGCCGCAGUAA